rnacentral:rRNA from 1 species
GGGACACGUGGUAUCCUGUCUGAAUAUGGGGGGACCAUCCUCCAAGGCUAAAUACUCCUGACUGACCGAUAGUGAACCAGUACCGUGAGGGAAAGGCGAAAAGAACCCCGGCGAGGGGAGUGAAAAAGAACCUGAAACCGUGUACGUACAAGCAGUGGGAGCACGCUUAGGCGUGUGACUGCGUACCUUUUGUAUAAUGGGUCAGCGACUUAUAUUCUGUAGCAAGGUUAACCGAAUAGGGGAGCCGAAGGGAAACCGAGUCUUAACUGGGCGUUAAGUUGCAGGGUAUAGACCCGAAACCCGGUGAUCUAGCCAUGGGCAGGUUGAAGGUUGGGUAACACUAACUGGAGGACCGAACCGACUAAUGUUGAAAAAUUAGCGGAUGACUUGUGGCUGGGGGUGAAAGGCCAAUCAAACCGGGAGAUAGCUGGUUCUCCCCGAAAGCUAUUUAGGUAGCGCCUCGUGAAUUCAUCUCCGGGGGUAGAGCACUGUUUCGGCAAGGGGGUCAUCCCGACUUACCAACCCGAUGCAAACUGCGAAUACCGGAGAAUGUUAUCACGGGAGACACACGGCGGGUGCUAACGUCCGUCGUGAAGAGGGAAACAACCCAGACCGCCAGCUAAGGUCCCAAAGUCAUGGUUAAGUGGGAAACGAUGUGGGAAGGCCCAGACAGCCAGGAUGUUGGCUUAGAAGCAGCCAUCAUUUAAAGAAAGCGUAAUAGCUCACUGGUCGAGUCGGCCUGCGCGGAAGAUGUAACGGGGCUAAACCAUGCACCGAAGCUGCGGCAGCGACGCUUAUGCGUUGUUGGGUAGGGGAGCGUUCUGUAAGCCUGUGAAGGUGUGCUGUGAGGCAUGCUGGAGGUAUCAGAAGUGCGAAUGCUGACAUAAGUAACGAUAAAGCGGGUGAAAAGCCCGCUCGCCGGAAGACCAAGGGUUCCUGUCCAACGUUAAUCGGGGCAGGGUGAGUCGACCCCUAAGGCGAGGCCGAAAGGCGUAGUCGAUGGGAAACAGGUUAAUAUUCCUGUACUUGGUGUUACUGCGAAGGGGGGACGGAGAAGGCUAUGUUGGCCGGGCGACGGUUGUCCCGGUUUAAGCGUGUAGGCUGGUUUUCCAGGCAAAUCCGGAAAAUCAAGGCUGAGGCGUGAUGACGAGGCACUACGGUGCUGAAGCAACAAAUGCCCUGCUUCCAGGAAAAGCCUCUAAGCAUCAGGUAACAUCAAAUCGUACCCCAAACCGACACAGGUGGUCAGGUAGAGAAUACCAAGGCGCUUGAGAGAACUCGGGUGAAGGAACUAGGCAAAAUGGUGCCGUAACUUCGGGAGAAGGCACGCUGAUAUGUAGGUGAAGUCCCUCGCGGAUGGAGCUGAAAUCAGUCGAAGAUACCAGCUGGCUGCAACUGUUUAUUAAAAACACAGCACUGUGCAAACACGAAAGUGGACGUAUACGGUGUGACGCCUGCCCGGUGCCGGAAGGUUAAUUGAUGGGGUCAGCGCAAGCGAAGCUCUUGAUCGAAGCCCCGGUAAACGGCGGCCGUAACUAUAACGGUCCUAAGGUAGCGAAAUUCCUUGUCGGGUAAGUUCCGACCUGCACGAAUGGCGUAAUGAUGGCCAGGCUGUCUCCACCCGAGACUCAGUGAAAUUGAACUCGCUGUGAAGAUGCAGUGUACCCGCGGCAAGACGGAAAGACCCCGUGAACCUUUACUAUAGCUUGACACUGAACAUUGAGCCUUGAUG